UUAAGCAUAUCAGCUUAAUUAGAAUUAAUUUUAAAAAAAACAAACAAACAAACAAAAAAAACAAGUAGGAUGUUUCAUUGGUCAAACCUAAAUCAAAUGUAACUGUAGUCAUUAUAAUGGAAAAUGUGUUUGCAAACUAGAGUCAAAAGUUGCACUAAUUAAGUAUGACUGACAAAAUGCUGCAAAGUUUAUUACAAAAUGCGUGCAAGAGUUUUAUUGCAAAAUGCAGUGUUAUUACAUAAUGAGGUGAAAAAUUCUUACAUUAUUACAUAUUGCACCAUUAUUACAUAAUGCGGCGCUACAGGGUUCAUUGAAGGUUCUCAUUCAGUGCAACGAGAAGACUUGACUGAGUCAAACUGAGUGAAUGUAUCAUUUAUCAUAGUCAAUCAGCUGCCAAAGAUCUCAGUUAUAAUGAUCAUUUUCCUUUUCGUUCAUUGCUUGUGAAAACAAUGCUUUUUUAGCAGCGAGUUCUGUCAGCUGUUGGAUCUUCUUUGAAUGAAUCAAUAGCAAAUUAUUUUUUAGAGUAGUCCUCUCACACGUGUACCAUACUUGAGAAAAUAUAUGUAUAAUAAUACAUAUAGUUAUGGUUUACAGUGUCAGUCUUAAGCAGCUGUCAUCUAUCUGACAGUAGGUGUUCAGGAUUUAAAGUAGCCCUAACCAUAAUUAUGCACUGUUUCUAUGGAAAUGGACCAAAACAUGCAAAACCAUGGAUUAGUUCUGUGAGUGAAAGAAAUCUGUUAAUUGUUUUGAGCUGUAUUUUGUUUAGAAGUUGCCUGCUAUUCUUCCAAACUGACAGCAGUUAUUUUCUCUGUAGGAUAAUUUACUUGUUAAAUUCAGACCCUCUUUAUAUUAGAUAACUUUAGAUAAAAA